rnacentral:rRNA from 1 species
GACGAACGCUGGCGGCGUGCUUAACACAUGCAAGUCGAACGGAAAGGCCCUGCUUUUGUGGGGUGCUCGAGUGGCGAACGGGUGAGUAACACGUGAGUAACCUGCCCUUGACUUUGGGAUAACUUCAGGAAACUGGGGCUAAUACCGGAUAGGAGCUCCUGCUGCACGGUGGGGGUUGGAAAGUUUCGGCGGUUGGGGAUGGACUCGCGGCUUAUCAGCUUGUUGGUGGGGUAGUGGCUUACCAAGGCUUUGACGGGUAGCCGGCCUGAGAGGGUGACCGGCCACAUUGGGACUGAGAUACGGCCCAGACUCCUACGGGAGGCAGCAGUGGGGAAUAUUGCACAAUGGGCGGAAGCCUGAUGCAGCAACGCAGCGUGCGGGAUGACGGCCUUCGGGUUGUAAACCGCUUUCGCCUGUGACGAAGCGUGAGUGACGGUAAUGGGUAAAGAAGCACCGGCUAACUACGUG